AAACUGCCCAAGGGUCCGGGAUAACCCCGGGAAACUGGGGAUAAUACCGGAUGGAUCACUUAUGCUGGAAUGCUUGGUGGUCGAAAGGUGACGCCCUUGGAUGGGUCUGCGGCGGAUUAGGUUGACGCCGGUGUAACGUACCGGCGUGCCUGUAAUCCGUACGGGUUGUGGGAGCAAGAGCCCGGAGAUGGAUUCUGAGACACGAAUCCAGGCCCUACGGGGCGCAGCAGGCGCGAAAACUCUACAAUGCAGGCAACUGCGAUAGGGGGACAUCGAGUGGCAUCCACCUUGGGUGCCUGUCCCACCGUCUAAAAAACGGUGGUUAGCAAGGGCCGGGCAAGACCGGUGCCAGCCGCCGCGGUAAUACCGGCGGCUCGAGUGGUGGCCGAUAUUAUUGAGUCUAAAGGGUCCGUAGCCGGCUUUGCAAGUCCCCUGGGAAAUCCAGCGGCUUAACCGUUGGGCUUUCAUGGGAUACUACAUUGCUUGGGACUGGGAGAGGUAGGAGGUACUCGGGGGGUAGGGGUGAAAUCCUGUAAUCCUCCGGGGACCACCGGUGGCGAAGGCGUCCUACCAGAACAGGUCCGACGGUGAGGGACGAAAGCUAGGGGCACGAACCGGAUUAGAUACCCGGGUAGUCCUAGCCGUAAACGAUGCCCGCUAGGUGUCACGACGGUCGUGAAUCGUCGUGGUGCCGUAGGGAAGCCGCGAAGCGGGCCACUUGGGAAGUACACCGC
rnacentral:rRNA from 1 species